rnacentral:lncRNA from 1 species
CGUUGAUGGUUGCUGGGUUGGCCGGUUAAUGUUUGCUAGGUUUUUCAUAUUGCCAUUUGCAUGCAUCUCCGUGGCCUCUGCUGGCGGUGCAUGCUUGUCUUUUUCGGGCGUCCUAGCCACUCUCGCUUCAUCCCGGUUGGUUUGUGCGUCGUACUCGGCCGCUCUUGUGGAGAGGGCUGUUGUUGUUUUUCCUCUAUCUACAUCUCUCCUGUGCUCUGCUGUCCUUUUCUCUAGUGACCUUGUUGUGGCCCCUAUGUGGACUUCAUCCUUUUCUGUGCUUGGAUUCUUGAGCGGCACACUAUACACUCC